CUUUAGUUUUAUUAGGUUCAGCUGCUCCCCUUGCCUCCUUGUCACACCUGUUCCUAGUUCCUAAAUUACCUGCCUCUGUUCUCGCUCUUUAUAUCAGCUGGUUUUGUUUCAUUGUUCUUCGCUGGUUCCUUCAUUCACACCUCAUUACAACCCGAUCCUCUGCCCUAGUCCAUGCCAUGAGUUUUCCAUGAUCCUGCAGUGUGUUAUAUUGUCUCAGAUUUUUCUCAUAACAUGGAAACAGUCACCAUGAUGUCAUCUUCGUCCACCACAUCCAGACAGUAACGUUCUGGAAAACCACAGGCUAUACGGCUUUGGUUGCCUUUAUUUCUCAGAAAUCCUGUUUCUCAAAGAGACCUCAGACGAAUCAAAUAUAAAAGAAUAAGAGGCAGACAUGGAGCAGAGCUGCUGCAGACGUGAUGGGAGGGAGACAGGCUGCAGAGGCUGCAGGCUAACAGGCAGGAAGUAAUGGACUCUUUAUUGAAUUAAAUGCUCCACAAAAGCAAAGCAGUCAUUAUUAUCCAGCUGGGAUCCUGACACAACUGCUGAUAACAGGAUCCAUUAGCCCGAUUGGCUGCGCAGCCAUUCGUCAAAAGCCAUAUUUUAAUAUGAAGCUUACUUAUCAUUGGGAGCUGCGCUCUGCUUCCCUGUCACUGAAACUGAUGCUGCUGCUUAUUUACAGUUUUCAA